ensembl:lncRNA
GCUCCUCCCUCUUCUUAACACACAUAUACAAUAAAGGAACAUGUAAUGUCAGAGUGUUUUCAUUGACACCUCUGUAUAUGUAUAUCCACGUCAGUUACAUAGAUCAUUGCUAUUUCAGGAUUUUCUCCAGUAAAGGUUCGAAAUGUUUGGAAUUUUGGUUUUGUCUUUGCUCACAGACUGUGUGCUGUCAUCGCUUGUGAUUCAGCAAACACCUUUAAAUCUUCUGAUAAAACCAGAACAACGACAAGCCCAGAUUGAAUGCUACCAUGGAGUGAGUGACUAUAUCUACAUGUACUGGUACCAGCACAAGUCAGCAGCAGGAGGCCAGCGAACAAUGGACCUGAUUGGACGGCUUCAAUAUGGAAACCCAACUCUUGAAAAGACCUUUGAGAGCAAAUUUAACAUAACAGGCUAUUCAACGGCCAAAGCUCAGCUUGAAAUCUCCAAUGUUAAUCCGGCAGACACAGCACAAUACUUCUGUGCUGCGAGUCGGCACAGUGUUUCAACUCCUCUGCCUGCUUUACAAAAAGCUGGUGGCACACAGCAUCAAAACCACACCUGCAUGAUUGAUAAAGGAGGAGUGACAGUUCUAAAGUCUGCCUUCUCACAGUUUCUCUCACUUUGGUCCUUUUAUCACUGCUCAGAUUAAGAUGUCAUUUCCUGCAUUGUUGGCUCUGUUUAUAUUUCUACCCAUUUAACUUCCUCUUCUAAAGGAAAAGAGACUCCUGGUUCUUUUUGCAGGUCAGACUGUGCGCUGUCAUCACCUGUGAUUCAGCAAACACCUUUAAAUCUUCUGAUAAAACCAGAACAACGACAAGCCCAGAUCGAAUGCUACCAUGGAGCGAGUGACUAUCAAUACAUGUACUGGUACCAGCACAG